rnacentral:tRNA from 1 species
GCCGGUAUAGCUCAGCUGGUAGAGCAACUGACUUGUAAUCAGUAGGUCCCGGGUUCGACUCCUGGUGUCGGCACCA